rnacentral:tRNA from 1 species
GGUGACAUAGCCAAGUUGGUAAGGCAAAGCUCUGCAAAAGCUUCAUUCCCCGGUUCGAAUCCGGGUGUCACCU